ACACCACCUGCUGGGUCAUUCAGGUGACUGAGGAAGCUCCUGUGUAACAUGACUGUGAGGAUUUGGAGUUUUCUGUGUUCAUGUUCUUACAGUUUAUCUAACAAACAUACUCUGAUCUCUCCUACAGCUUCAUGGCGCCUGUGUUAAGUUACUUCUGGUUAAAUGAAGAGGUGCAGGCGAUACAUACUGCUCUUUGUGCAAAGCAGCAACCUUCUCACACGUUAUCACAAGCGGAGCCUGCAGAGUGUGACUGAAGUCCUCCAGACUCCACCUGCUCCACCUCUUUCGCUGCAUUCAUCCCUUCCGCUUUGCAAUGUCAAAAAAAGUCCAGGAUGCAGCCUGACUGUCAGGUUGUGUCGACCUGCAUU